rnacentral:tRNA from 1 species
UUAAUAGAAGCCAAAAAGAGGCAUCUCACUGUUAAUGAGAUUAUUGAUUUUUCCUAUUAAG